rnacentral:rRNA from 1 species
AACCUCCGCAAUGUGAGAAAUCGCGACGGGGGGAUCCCAAGUGCCAUUCUUAACGGGAUGGCUUUUCAUUAGUGUAAAGAGCUUUUGGAAUAAGAGCUGGGCAAGACCGGUGCCAGCCGCCGCGGUAACACCGGCAGCUCUAGUGGUAGCAAUUUUUAUUGGGCCUAAAGCGUCCGUAGCCGGUUUAAUAAGUCUCUGGUGAAAUCCUGUAGCUUAACUGUGGGAAUUGCUGGAGAUACUAUUAGACUUGAGACCGGGAGAGGUUAGAGGUACUCCCAGGGUAGAGGUGAAAUUCUGUAAUCCUGGGAGGACCGCCUGUUGCGAAGGCGUCUAACUGGAACGGUUCUGACGGUGAGGGACGAAAGUUAGGGGCGCGAACCGGGAUUAGAUACCCGGGUAGUCCUAACUGUAAACGAUGCGGACUUGGUGUUGGGGUGGCUUUGAGCUGCUUCAGUGCCGAAGGGAAGCGUGUUAGUCCGCCCGCUCGGGAGUACGUCGGCAAGACUGAAACUUAAAGGAAUA